rnacentral:lncRNA from 1 species
UGCCGCUGAAUCUGUUGUUGAUACGAGUGUUGAUGAUGUCUCAGAUUCUCAAAAUUCUAUUGCUAAUCAACAAGGCAACCCCAUUGCUGAGGCUGUUUCAAAUCAAUUUGCUACUGGGCCUAUUGUUGAUAAGGAUGCCGAAGAUGACUCAAAUUCUCAGAAUUUUGUUGGUAAUCAACAAGAAAACCCUAUUGUUGAUAAGGAUGCCGAAGAUGACUCAAAUUCUCAGAAUUUUGUUGGUAAUCAACAAGAAAACCCUAUUGCUGAGGCUGUCUCAGAUCAAUUUGCCACCGAGUCUACUGUUGAUACAGAUACUGAUAAUGACUUGGAUUCUCAGAAUUCUGUUGCUAAUCAACA